AACGAACGCUGGCGGCAGGCUUAACACGUGCAAGUCGAGCGCCCCGCAAGGGGAGCGGCAGACGGGUGAGUAACGCGUGGGAAACUACCCUUUGGUACGGAAUAACACAGAGAAAUUUGUGCUAAUACCGUAUGUGCCCUUCGGGGGAAAGAUUUAUCGCCAUAGGAUGUGCCCGCGUAGGAUUAGCUAGUUGGUGUGGUAAUGGCGCACCAAGGCGACGAUCCUUAGCUGGUCUGAGAGGAGGACCAGCCACACUGGAACUGAGACACGGCCCAGACUCCUACGGGAGGCAGCAGUGGGGAAUAUUGGACAAUGGGCGCAAGCCUGGUCCAGCCAUGCCGCGUGAGUGAUGAAGGCCUUAGGGUUGUAAAGCUCUUUCACCGGAGAAGAUAAUGACGGUAUCCGGAGAAGAAGCCCCGGCUAACUUCGUGCCAGCCGCCGCCGUAA
rnacentral:rRNA from 1 species